AUUUUGUUCAAGCUAUUGAUGAUUUAUUGAUGUGAUUAUGAUCCUUAGCAACAAGUUGCAUGUGGAGGCCUGAGGUCCUGAGGAAGAACACGGAAUGUGCCUUUGCCCUCUGACGUGAAGAGAGUGGGAGAGAUGGAGAGUUUGAAUCAGGAAUAUUCCUCAGAAAUAACCAAGAAAUUCUGAAUUAAAUCUUCA
rnacentral:lncRNA from 12 species